CCUACGGGUGGCAGCAGUGGGGGAUAAUGCACAAUGGGGGAAACCCUGAUGCAGCGACGCCGCGUGAGUGAAUAAGUAUUUCGGUAUGUAAAGCUCUAUCAGUAGGGAAGAAAAAAGACGGUAUCUGACCAAGAAGCCCCGGCUAACCACGCGCCAGCAGCCGCGGUAAUACGGAGGGGGCAAGCGUUAUCCGGAUUUACUGGGUGUAAGGGGAGCGUAGCCGGCAAUGCAAGUCGGAAGUGAAAUACCCGGGCUCAACCUGCGAACCGCAUUGGAGACUGUAAGGCUGGAGUGAUGGAGGGGUAAGCGGAAUUCCUGGUGUAGCAGUGAAAUGCGUAGAUAUUGGGAGGAACACCAGUGGCGAAGGCGGGUUACUGGACAGUAACUGACGUUGAGGCUCGAAGGCGAGGGGAGCGAACGGGAUUAGAUACCCGGGUAGUC
rnacentral:rRNA from 1 species